UACGAAGGGGGGCUAGCGUUGUUCGGAUUUACUGGGCGUAAAGCGCACGUAGGCGGAUUGGUCAGUUAGGGGUGAAAUCCCCAGAGCUCAACUCUGGAACUGCCUUUAAUACUGCCAAUCCUAGAGUCCGGAAGAGGUAAGUGGAACUCCUAGUGUAGAGGUGGAACUUCGUAGAUAUUAGGAAGAACACCAGUGGCGAAGGCGGCUUACUGGUCCGGUA
rnacentral:rRNA from 1 species